UUGAUCCUGGCUCAGAACGAACGCUGGCGGCGCGUUUUAAGCAUGCAAGUCGAGCGGUAAGCAUCCUUCGGGAUGCCUAGAGCGGCGAACGGGUGAGUAACACGUAGGUAAUCUGCCGUGCGAUUGGGGAUAGCCUGUGGAAACACAGGGUAAUACCGAAUACGACCUUCGGGGGAAAGGCGCUUCGGCGCCGUCGUACGAUGAGCCUGCGGCGCAUUAGUUAGUUGGCGGGGUAAUGGCCCACCAAGGCGACGAUGCGUAGCCGACCUGAGAGGGUGAUCGGCCACACUGGGACUGAGAUACGGCCCAGACUCCUACGGGAGGCAGCAGCUAAGAAUCUUCCGCAAUGGACGAAAGUCUGACGGAGCGACGCCGCGUGGGCGAGGAAGGCCGAAAGGUUGUAAAGCCCUUUUCUGCGUGAGGAAUAAGAAUCGGAGGCAAUGCCGGUUUGAUGACGGUAGCGCAGGAAUAAGCCCCGGCCAAUUACGUGCCAGCAGCCGCGGUAACACGUAUGGGGCGAGCGUUGUUCGGAAUUAUUGGGCGUAAAGGGCGCGCAGGCGGUCAUGCAAGCUUGGUGUGAAAGACCACGGCUUAACGGUGGAAACGCGCUGAGAACUGCAUGACUUGAGUUUCGGAGGGGGAACUGGAAUUCCAGGUGUAGGGGUGAAAUCUGUAGAUAUCUGGAAGAACAUCAGUGGCGAAGGCGAGUUCCUGGCCGACAACUGACGCUGAGGCGCGAAAGCGUGGGGAGCGAACAGGAUUAGAUACCCUGGUAGUCCACGCCGUAAACGAUGUGCACUAGGUGUUGGGCUUNCGAAGGCUCAGUGCCGCAAGUUAACACGUUAAGUGCACCGNCUGGGGAGUAUGCCCGC
rnacentral:rRNA from 1 species